GAGUAAUCACAAAUUGUGUCGACUAUCUAUACUUAUACACUUCAUAUGGUCCAUGAAAAAACAUUAACCUAAGAAUUUAAAUAAUAAAAAGUAAGGCUUUUUAUAUUACUUAAAAUAAAUAAAUAAAAUUUAAGCAUAACGAGUUAACAAACGUAUUUAUUUACAAUAAACUUAUCUCAGUGGAGUAAGAUAUAAAAGUAAUAUAAGAACGAGUCUAUAUACAUAUUGCAAAAAUGUUUAAUUCUUUGUAUUUCAAAAACAACUGUAUAAAUACACAUGUAAUAAACAAGUUACAAUUUUUUUAUCAACGACUAAAGAAGAAUGAUAAAUUUAUAGAAUUUGCAACGUGUAAACCAUAUCAUUCUUUCUCUAGAAGUAUAAAUAAAAUAACUAAUUUAAGAAAUGUGAUUCAACAGCCAAAGGUGGAUAGAAAAUAUUCAUAUAUAAAUAUAAAUAUACAAAAUGAUAUAUUUCUGUUUAAAUUUGAAACUAAUUAUUUUAAAAAUAUUAGAUGGAUUUUAUUAGCAGCAUUAACUUCUUCUGCUGUGACGUGUUACACUUCAUAUGAUCCAAAGUUGAAAUCACUAUUAUUUAAAGAUAUCUCUUGGUCCCAGUAUAUUAAAACUUGUGGAACAAAUAUUAUAUUUUUUACAUUUGGAAUAUUUAUAGUUUAGGUCCUGU